rnacentral:rRNA from 1 species
AUGAGAAGCAUCAUUCAGAGGGAGACAAGGAGGAUUCAGAGGGAGGUGAGAAGCAGCCUGCAGAUGGAGACUAUGCUUGCUUUUUUCAUGAGAUCGGCAAAAAGGCGUAUGGUUCUUUUGUCUGAUGGCUCUGAGCAAAUUGGAAAAGCAUCUUUGGGAUUUGAGUUGUCAUCUGAUACAAAGCUUAUCAAACUUACACUUGAUGAUGUGUUGAGGCCUGGUUUAAAGGGACUUCUGUCUAUUCCCGUCUCCUCCCAGAGCUCAUCGAAGGUGGACCUUCAGUAUCGUCAUCUUGGUGCUUGUAUAACUGGAAGUUCUGAGCUUCAGGGAUCGCCAAUUGUUUCGUUUUCUGCUGUGAUUGGCACGAAAAGCAUUGCUUUAGGUGCCGAUGUUUCGGUCAUCACAAAGUCCCUCGAUGCUUUGGGUGCGGUUGAUUCGCUUGAAACCAAGCUCCUGCGGUUUCCUAAGUACACCUGUGGUUUGGUUUUAUCGGAAGGAGAUGUGGGUGCUUCUUUCACAAUGGAAAAUGCCGACGUUCUCACAGCAACUUAUCAUCAUAAGUUAGACGAGACGACGUCCAUUGCUGCCAAGGUGCAGCGUGUUCUGUCUUCGAACGACAGCACUCUUACAGCGGGUUUCUCUCAUUCUCUGGAUCCGAACACAACGGUGAAGGCCAAGCUUAGCAGUGAUGGAGCGGUGGGUGUCCUGCUCCGAUACGGCCCCAAGCCCAAGUGCUACGUCGCCUUCUCCGCCGAGUCCAAUUCCCAAGCGCCUCAAAAGGAUACCAAAUUUGGUCUUUGUGUUGCUCUAGGGGCGUGA